ACUCCUACGGGAGGCAGCAGUGGGGAAUAUUGCACAAUGGGGGAAACCCUGAUGCAGCCAUGCCGCGUGUGUGAAGAAGGCCUUCGGGUUNUGAAAGAUCACUUUCAGUAGGGAGGAAGGUAGUGUAGUUAACACCUGCAUUAUUUGACGUUACCUACAGCAAGAAGCACCGGCUAACUCCGUGCCAAGCCAGGCUNCGGNAAUACGGAGGGUGCGAGGCCGUUAAUCGGAAUUACUGGGCGUAAAGCGCAUGCAGGCGGCCUGUUAAGUCAGAUGUGAAAGCCCGGGGCUUAACCUCGG
rnacentral:rRNA from 1 species